rnacentral:rRNA from 1 species
CCUACGGGUGGCAGCAGUGGGGAAUAUUGGGCAAUGGGCGCAAGCCUGACCCAGCAACGCCGCGUGAAGGAUGAAGGUUUUCGGAUUGUAAACUUCUGUCGCGAGGGACGAAGAAUGACGGUACCUCGUAAGAAAGCCCCGGCUAACUACGUGCCAGCAGCCGCGGUAAUACGUAGGGGGCAAGCGUUGUCCGGAAUGACUGGGCGUAAAGGGAGUGUAGGCGGCUUAUCAAGUUAGCGGUAAAAUCGUGGAGCUCAACUCCAUCCAGCCGUUGAAACUGAUGAUCUUGAGUGGGCGAGAAGUAUGCGGAAUGCGUGGUGUAGCGGUGAAAUGCAUAGAUAUCACGCAGAACUCCGAUUGCGAAGGCAGCAUACCGGCGCCCGACUGACGCUGAAGCACGAAAGCGUGGGUAUCGAACAGGAUUAGAUACCCUAGUAGUC